AUCAGAGAUUUUCCCCGUAACAUGUGUCAUGUGUUGGAAAAUUUUGCAAUCCGAACAGUUGUUGGCGCAUGGGGUUGACGCCUGACGGCAAGAACUGGAAAAUGGAGUCAGCGGCUAAACUGUUGGAAAUUUUUGAGAAGACGUAAGAUUUUAAGUAAGAUUACCCGGCAUCAUUCAGCUAUAAAUUGUUAACCUUCUUCAAAAAUUUAGGGCACAGAAAUCCAAAUCCAAACUGCAGGAUAAGGGAAGAAGGGGAUAGAUAUGGAGGAGUCCAUCCCGUCUGCACUAACUUGCAGCAAUCUUCCUCCCCAGCUCUCCUCCUUCGUCAAUGCCUUCGUCGACUUCUGCGUGAGCGGCCUCUUCUUUCCCAAUUCGAAACCUAACACCCUUUCUAAUCCCAUUCCCGUGCUCUCCACGCACUUCCCCGCGCCCUCCCGCCUCGUCGCUAUCGGCGAUCUCCACGGAGAUUAUCCCAAAUCCUUACAAGCCCUUGCGCUCGCCGGCCUCAUUGAUCCUUUCUCUUUCCGCUGGACCGGCGGCACCACCGUCGCCGUUCAGGUCGGCGACGUCCUCGACCGCGGUGGCGAUGAGAUCCGCCUCCUGUACCUUCUCCAACGCCUCAAACUCGACGCCGCCCAUGCCGGUGGCGAGCUUCUCACCAUCCUCGGCAACCACGAGGUCAUGAAUAUAGACGGCGAUUUCCGCUAUGUCACCCCGGAGGGACUCGACGAGUUCAAGCAAUGGGGCCGAUGGUUCCGCGUUGGUCUUUCCAUGAAACGCCUCUGCUCGGAUCUCGAAAAACCGAUUGAUCCUUUCAGAGGAAUCCCCAUGUCUUUCCCCGGCGUGAAAAGGGAGUUUUGGGAGGGGUUUCGAUCGAGAAUCGCCGCCCUCCGACCCGACGGCGUCCUCUCCCGUCGGUUCCUAGCCGACAAUCCGACGGUCGCGGUGGUCGGAGAUUCGGUUUUCGUUCAUGGAGGACUGUUGCAGCGGCAUGUCGAGUAUGGCUUGGAAAGGAUCAACGAAGAUGCUAGGGAUUGGAUCUGCGGCUUGAAUGGGAGGUUAUCUCCUAAAAACAUGAGAGGCAGAGAUAGUGUGGUUUGGUUGAGGAGGUUCUCUGAGGGUUUUAACUGUGAUUGCCAGCAUCUUGAAGGUGUUCUUUCCAUGAUUCCAGGAGUGAGGAGGAUGGUGAUGGGGCAUACUAUACAGGAACAAGGGAUUAAUGCUGUCUGCGAGAACAGAGCCAUUAGGAUAGAUGUUGGGUUAUCCAAAGGAUGUUCAAAUGGAUUGCCUGAGGUGCUUGAGAUCAAUGGCGGCUUAAACAUGAGAGUGAUUACUGCAAACUCAUUGUAUGAUUACAGAGGGAAGGUGCCUGAGGUGAGGGAAGGAGAAAGACAUGGGCUUGCUUUGCUGCUAAGUGAAAGCAGAUUGAAAGAAGUGGAAGCUGCUGCUUAGGCAACAGCUUAUAUGGCUAACAAAUCAUGUUCUCUUGUUCAUAAUUUCAGUAGAUUUAAAAGGUUGCAGGAAGUAAUGAAAAACAGGAAUCAAAAUAGAACUUAAUGGAAAUUGGGGAAAAGUUCGGCUAUUGGGCGCCUAGGCACUUGAAUAUUGGCGCUUAGGCGCCAGAACCUGUUCAUAAUUCAGCUACAACCCGAGAGCAUGACACCAUGGCACUAGCCCCUGGGCGCUUAGGCGCCGCGAUACUGUCACUUAUGUGUUGCAUAAUUGGGCGCUUAGGCGCCCAAUAGACAGUUCUAAAUAGAGAGUUUGGUGCUUAGGUGCCAGCUCCUGGGCACAUUGGCGCCCAAAUUGAAUUCAGCGGUUGGAGCAGUUCGAAGUUUUAGUUCAUAAGGAAAUCGUGGAAAACAUUGGUAGGAAUGUAUAAAAAGCAAUGAAACGAAGUGGGAAGGGGAUGUUGCUAGCUUGAGGCUUCUGCUUUUACUUCAGUUCAAAAGUUUUCUUCUCCCCGGGCAGUGAAGAGAAUUCUAGCAGAUCGUCAACAACAGAAGAUAGGAGGUUUGAGAGGUUCUAAGAGAUAAGUGCUUGUGUUUCAUCAGUUCUUUAUUGUGAAGAAGAGAAAGAUAAUUCUUUUCUAUAGUUUGAUUGUAACAUUUUAUUUGUAAGACUAUUAUAUUUUGAUU